CGCUUAUUGGUAAUAUAAUAAGUCUAGCCUGCCCACUGAAAAUUUAUUAAAGGGCCGCAGUAUUUUGACUGUGCAAAGGUAGCAUAAUCAUUAGUCUUUUAAUUAAAGGCUGGAAUGAAGGGCUGAACGAAGUAUUAACUGUCUCAUUUAAAUAAAAUAAAUUUAACUUUUUAGUGAAAAGGCUAAAUUAAUAUUAAAGGACGAGAAGACCCUAUAGAGCUUUAUAAAUCUAAAAUAAUAUUGAUUAGUAGAUUAGUAAUAUUAUUUGAGACUUAUUUUGUUGGGGUGACAAAAAGAUAAAUUAACUCUUUAAGAUUUAGGCAUAGAUGAAUGAAUAAAAGAUCCACUAAUAGUGAUAAAAGUUUAAGUUACC
rnacentral:rRNA from 1 species